AAUGAACGUUGGCGGCGUGGAUUAGGCAUGCAAGUCGAGCGGUAGAGGUUCCCUCACCCCGAUUCAUUUAGUCUCCGGUCAAUGACCGGGGCUAAGUGGGCGAGGUGAGGGGACCUUGAGAGCGGCGAAAGGGAGAGUAACGCGUAGUUACGUACCCCGAGGCCCGGAAUAGCCACGGGAAACUGUGGGUAAUGCCGGAUAACAUCUUCGGAUCAAAGGUGUGAUUCCACCUCGGGAGCGGACUGCGUCCUACUAGCUAGUUGGCGGGGUAAUGGCCCACCAAGGCGACGAUGGGUAGCGGGCGUGAGAGCGUGGCCCGUCUCACUGGGACUGAGACACUGCCCAGACACCUACGGGUGGCUGCAGUCGAGAAUCUUCGGCAAUGAGCGCAAGCUUGACCGAGCGACGCCGCGUGCGGGAUGAAGGCCUUCGGGUUGUAAACCGCAAAAGUGAGGAGGAAGGCUCUGCGAAGAGCAGGGUUUGACCUAUUCACAGUAAGGACGGGCUAAGUUCGUGCCAGCCGCCGCAGUAAGAC
rnacentral:rRNA from 1 species